rnacentral:rRNA from 1 species
AGUGAACGCUGGCGGUAGGCCUAACACAUGCAAGUCGAACGGCAGCACAGUAAGAGCUUGCCCUUACGGGUGGCGAGUGGCGGACGGGUGAGGAAUACAUCGGAAUCUACUUUUUCGUGGGGGAUAACGUAGGGAAACUUACGCUAAUACCGCAUACGACCUACGGGUGAAAGCAGGGGAUCUUCGGACCUUGUGCGAUUGAAUGAGCCGAUGUCGGAUUAGCUAGUUGGCGGGGUAAAGGCCCACCAAGGCGACGAUCCGUAGCUGGUCUGAGAGGAUGAUCAGCCACACUGGAACUGAGACACGGUCCAGACUCCUACGGGAGGCAGCAGUGGGGAAUAUUGGACAAUGGGCGCAAGCCUGAUCCAGCCAUACCGCGUGGGUGAAGAAGGCCUUCGGGUUGUAAAGCCCUUUUGUUGGGAAAGAAAAGCAGCAGGUUAAUACCCCGCUGUUCUGACGGUACCCAAAGAAUAAGCACCGGCUAACUUCGUG